rnacentral:rRNA from 1 species
CUACGGAGGGUGCAAGCGUUACUCGGAAUCACUGGGCGUAAAGCGCGCGCAGGCGGCCUGAUAAGUUGGAUGUGAAAGCCUACGGCUCAACCGUAGAACUGCAUCCAAAACUGUCAGGCUAGAGUGUGGGAGAGGAAGAUGGAAUUAGUUGUGUAGGAGUAAAAUCCGUAGAGAUAACUAGGAAUACCAAAAGCGAAGGCAAUCUUCUGGAACACUACUGACGCUGAGGCGCGAAGGCGUGGGGAGCAAACAGGAUUAGAAACCCCAGUAGUCC